ACCAGGUUUCCAUCAAUUGAGGUCACGCCUUUCAUAUCUAAUGUGUUCAGAUUUAUGGCAUCAUUCUCAUUUUUAUAAUUGUUAUGAUGUAUUUUCUGGAUGCAAGGCUAAUGCUGGGAAGAUUUUGCUGUUUGGUAAUUCUCACAUGACUGCAAUCGAGUGAUUAACAUUUUAUUUCAGAACUGUCUUCAUGUAUUCUUCUUGGGCACUUGUUCUUAUUGGGCAAAAAGACAGCGCAGCUAAGACUGUAUUGGGGCUUGAUAGGUGAAGUUCCUCUUGGAAGAGUGCCUUGAGAAAUUACUACUUACAACCUUGUAAGUUGUAACUGACUCAAAAAGACAGCUACUACCACCACUCCUUCAGAUAUGGUCCAUUUAAUUUCCUCACUGCCUAUUUAUUCCAAGGAAUCUUCAACAUGAUGUUAUGUGUUGGAACAACAAUACUUCCACUACAGUUCAUUUAUAGGAUAUCUAUACCUUACCAUCGGACGAGCAGAAUCAAGUUCCAUGCAAGAUGCCAAUUUCUGAUGGAUUUGGUAGUCAAAUAAUAUCAGUUCUCCACCAGGGGUUUGAUACAUGAUCUCUUGGGACCUCCCAACUCAGAUUACGGCAGCAACAACCACUUUCAUUGUUCUUGGUUUGCAGAUUAUAUUUAUAACUUUUGUCUUUCUUAUUGACUCUAUGUGAGCCAUGUAUAAUUGUUUCUCUAAGCUGCUGUUGGGAAAUAAAAAUGUCUUUCUUAUUGUUUCUUAUUGCAGCUGUUGUACCCAAAAAAAAAAAAAAAAA